GCGGCGGUGCCGGAGUGGUCAAACGGGACAGGCUUAGGACCUGUUAGCUUAGUGCUUUCGCGGGUUCGAAUCCUGUCCGCCGCA
rnacentral:tRNA from 1 species